AAGGAAUCGGACGGGCGGCUGGCCUUGCGCGAUCGCAGCCGAGGCGACGAGUUUGACAGGUUGGCGUCCGGGGCUCGGCCAGCUGAGAGCCUCUCCAGUCCAAGGUGGUGUUUCAUGCCUAAGGAGCUGGAAACGAAAAGUAAAAAGUGAACAAUAAUCUGUGAUUUUUCUAACCUGAAGUUCAAUGACAUUUUGUAACCACUCAUGAAAGAACAGUGGUGUUAUUUCCAUAUGCGCAGAAUAAAGAAGUGGCAAGAUAGAAGCAAU